GUUAAAUAAGCUUUAAACACAAAUAGCUUUCUAUUAAAAAAUAAAAACUGCACAAAGUAGAGGAAAAGAUAUUGUUAUCAUCAUCCCCCUUUGCUUCCAGCCAUGUGAGGUCUCCAAGAUAGCUGCUGACAACACACGUCUCCUGGAUCUGGUGUCCCCAUCAGAUAGUGUCAGAUUAUCUGCAAUUACUAUAGAAAGUUAGAGGAUAACUUCUGAGGAAUAAGGUUAGAUCUCUUUCCUCCAAGACCUACUAGGUUUAUACAUCCAGUAUACAAGAAUGGCAUAGGUCUUCACUAGCCAGUGACCCAUGUCACCAUAACAGAGCAAAAGUUACCCUUUUGUGGUUGAAACAUUUCAGUGUCUGCUAGGGAAAAAAAGGGAAGCAUAAUAUCACCAGUGUACUUUUAAAUUUAUCAUACAGUAUAUUUAGACUGUUAAUUUCUAGUCUCUAAAAAAUAAUUUAAUUGAGAUUUACUUGGUACAGGAUCAUCAUAACAUUAUAAACUCUUCCUCAUGGUAGGGGCAUUAAGUUACUUGGUCCAUAGCUUUAUUGAAUAGUAAUCCCACCCAUUGGUCAUAUAGACAGUGUUUGGAUGUUUUCUGAGUCAAGAACUAAUGCCAACAUCACAUUUUGCACAUAUCAAAUUAAUCUAUUCACUUGAUAGAUGCUUAUUGAGCUUUUGCCCACAUAAAGAUAUGGCAAAGAACAAGGCAGCCUCCUUAUGUAAAGGAGUUAACAUUUAAAUGAAGAUAAACCCUGGAGACAGUGAUUGCAUGAGAGAAAUUAUGGUUGAGUUGCUGCUGAGAGUUUUAGGAGAAAAGGUAUAUACAGAAGGUCUGUAGAACUUAGAAUCAAGAAGCAGUUCAAAAAAAUACAUUUGAACAUAUUGAAAGAAAGACAAGCAGAUCCUGGGCAACUGAACCAGUGGAGCAGAUACCCCAAUAGCUAGAAUGUGUGCAAAGCAUGGAGGUGUGGAAGGCAGGCCCUGGUCAGAAAGAGCUGCAGGUGGGUCUUCUGUUUUAGUCAAUGUGAAAAGAAGAAUGUACAGAAUCAGGGAAAUGUGGCAUGGAAAGGCAGGCAGAGGAAAAUGCUUCAAAGGGGGCCUUCAGAAGAGGAGGAGAAAAGUGAAGCUAGAGUGUGAAAAAAAGAGAGAGAGAGAGAGAGAGAGAGAGAGAAAGAAGGAGGAAGAAGUCAACAGUAUCAACAGCUGAAAAGAAAUGAAGUAAUUAGCCUUGAGCAGAAAGGUGUCUUUGUAUGAAGGAGGAUGAGAAAACAUUAGAAUAGAUUUGUAAUGGGAUGCAGUAAUAUUGGGUACAGAAUAUACUUUAUUCGGCAGGAAGUGAUGUAGGUCACAGCUAAAGGGAAUGAAAAAAGGGAGGAAGGUGGAGAUUCAGAAAAGCUGCUGUGAGCCUAAUGGCCUGAUGUGGUGGGCACAUGACUGUUAUGCCAGAGACUGACUUGGGAAACUGAGACAGGAGGCAAGCCUCAACAACUUAGUGAGGCCCUAAGCUGGGGAUAUAGUUCAGUGGCAAAAUGCCCCUGAAUUCAAUCUUCAGUACCAAAACUACAAAUAUAAAAAAAGAAAGGUGGACAUGCUCUGUGCUUCACUGAGUGAUGGCUAAAAUUAGAAGCCAUAAAUUUGGGGUAGUAUGUAUUUACUUUGUGGCAUCAAGUCAAAAGUACAAAAUAUAGGCAGAAAGAAGAAAGACUAUGGGCAUGAGAAACUCCACAUGAGAAAGAAAUUUUCCAUUGUUUGGCAUGUAGGGCACCAUAGUUAUAAAAAGGGACAUGAUAGAGGAGGUAUUUUGAGAAGUUAUACAGUUGCCUUAUCUAGAAGAAGUAGCUUUGCUCCCUUUUCCUCCUGUUAACAGUUUGGCUGUGUCAUGACUUUUAACUACACAGAGCCCACAAAUCUGACUCAGCUUUAUGAGAGUUUGGAAUAUAAUAUGUUGUUUCUUUGACGACUCAUUCUUAUUUCCCUCUUUGCUCUAGCAUUACAGUUGGAAUGUACACUGCAGUGGUUAACUAUUUACAGUGGUAUUUGAUGUAUUUGGCCCCAUUUAGAAAUGAGUUAAUCUCCACAACCGAAUUCUCCAGAUAACUGAAUUUUAUCCCAUUUAAAACUAAAGAAAUAAAACAAGACUAUUUUGAAGAUGUAUUUCUGUUACUUGGUUUCUCUGAAAAGAGUAGUGGACCUUAUUUACAGCAGGUUCUUGAUGACUUUCAGUUUGGGCUGUAAACAUCAGUUAAUGGAGUCCACCUCUUGCAUAUAGAAGCCUUUGAUUUGGGGGUUUUGGUUUUGGGCUCUCACUGAUAAUCUCACUAUGACUAAAUUGUGCCUUAGAAAUAGGGAUUAUGUCUAAUACUUCUCUAUCCCCUACAGCACUCAGAACAAUGCCAAUAGAAGGUCCAUAAAUAC
rnacentral:lncRNA from 1 species